GCCUGCGGAAGGAUCAUUACCGAGUGCGGGCCCCUCGGGGCCCAACCUUCCCACCCGUGUUGCCCGAACCUAUGUUGCCUCGGCGGGCCCCGCGCCCGCCGACGGCCCCCCUGAACGCUGUCUGAAGUUGCAGUCUGAGACCUAUAACGAAAUUAGUUAAAACUUUCAACAACGGAUCUCUUGGUUCCGGCAUCGAUGAAGAACGCAGCGAAAUGCGAUAACUAAUGUGAAUUGCAGAAUUCAGUGAAUCAUCGAGUCUUUGAACGCACAUUGCGCCCUCUGGUAUUCCGGAGGGCAUGCCUGUCCGAGCGUCAUUGCUGCCCUCAAGCCCGGCUUGUGUGUUGGGCCCCGUCCCCCCCGCCGGGGGGACGGGCCCGAAAGGCAGCGGCGGCACCGCGUCCGGUCCUCGAGCGUAUGGGGCUUCGUCACCCGCUCUAGUAGGCCCGGCCGGCGCCAGCCGACCCCCAACCUUUAAUUAUCUCAGGUUGACCUCGGAUCAGGUAGGGAUACCCGCUGAACUUAAGCAUAUCAAAA
rnacentral:rRNA from 1 species